rnacentral:rRNA from 1 species
AUGCAAGUCGAGCGCCGUAGCAAUACGGAGCGGCAGACGGGAGAGUAACACGUGGGAACGUGCCCUUUGGUUCGGAACAACCCAGGGAAACUUGGGCUAAUACCGGAUAAGCCCUUACGGGGAAAGAUUUAUCGCCGAAGGAUCGGCCCGCGUCUGAUUAGCUAGUUGGUGGGGUAAUGGCCCACCAAGGCGACGAUCAGUANCUGGUCUGAGAGGAUGAUCAGCCUCACUGGGACUGAGACACGGGCCAGACUCCUACGGGAGGCAGCAGUGGGGAAUAUUGGACAAUGGGCGCAAGCCUGAUCCAGCCAUGCCGCGUGGGUGAUGAAGGCCCUAGGGUUGUAAAGCCCUUUCGGCGGGGAAGAUAAUGACGGUACCCGCAGAAGAAGCCCCGGCUAACUUCGUGCCAGCAGCCGCGGUAAUACGAAGGGGGCUAUCGUUGCUCGGAAUCACUGGGCGUAAAGCGCACGUAUGCGGAUUGCUAAGUCAGGGGUGAAAUCCUG